rnacentral:ncRNA from 11 species
CAUGGUGUAGGUGGUUAGCAUACAAGAUUCUGAUUCUCGUGACCUGGGUUCGAGUCCCGGU